UCAGGCCUCCUUCCCUGCCUCUGGCUUGCUCAGGCCGGGCUGAGUCCCCACAAAGGUCAGGAUGGGUGUUCCCAGCCCAGGGAAUGCCUUCUGGGCUACCCUGGCCUGCCCCUGUCUCAUGCCUUCAAGUGCCCAUCACUGAGAUGUGGACCCUCAGGUGCCCGAGCCCCCAGGCAGGGAAGGGCCAGGCCCAUCCCUGCACACCCAGGGUGCUAGUAGGACCCUGACCUUAUGAGGGACAGUGGCCCUCUGCCCAUCCUGCUCCUCAGUGCAGGCCACUGCCCUCCCCUCCCCUGCCAGCCCAGACAAGGUAUUCCCUGCAGGCGUGAACCCCAGCCACCUGAUGAACCUGUUCACCUAUGAGAAGGGCUACUGCUUCGUGUACUACCUGUCCCAGCUCUGUGGAGACCCCCAGCGCUUCGACGACUUUCUCCGAGUGAGCAUUGGACCUGCACCUCCUGCCUCACCCCGCCCCAGCACACAGGGCUGCCUGUCUUGGGGGGAGGGUGGCGUCCGUAGGGACACCCAGAGCCCUACCAGGACCUGGCCUGCUGAGACAGCACGGCCUUCCUCUCCUGUCCGCCCCAGUGGGCCGCUCACGUCCAUGGCACACACCCUGAGUUGCUGUGAAGGCCCCAGCUCUGACCGGGGCCAGGCCUGGCCAGCCCUCCAGGCCUGCUCAGUGGCCGCCCCUCCCCCCACAGGCCUACGUGGAGAAGUUCAAGUUCACCAGCGUGGUGGCCCAGGACCUGCUGGGCUCCUUCCUGAGCUUCUUCCCAGAGCUGAAGGAGCAGAGUGUGGACUGCCGGGCAGGUGACAGUGGGGACCGUCUGCCCAAGCUGCGGGCCCUACCUGGAGAAAAGCCCCAUCUGUCACAUCUUUCCUUCAGCCAGCCCUCACUGGCCCUCGUGGACCCCAAGCCUGGACCACGAGCACAAAGGAGGCUGUGCCUCCCAGCCUGAGGGGGCCUCCUGGAGGAGGUGGCACUUAGGUGGAGCAGGCCAAGUUAGGAGCCAGGGGACCAGGGCCCAGCGGGAUCCUAAGGGGCAGGGUUGGCCCUGCUGGCUCCACUACACCACACCCUCGAGGACUUCCCAGAGGGUCUGAGGGUAUGGGGGAUCAAGGAAGGAACUGGAGGGUCCUGAAAUCCAGGGAGGGGCCAGAAUCCGUUGGAAUGCAAUGAGGCACAGCUGGGAGAUCUGGGCACGGUGACCCUAAAUUCUGGAAGGUCCCUAAGUGCAUCAACUGUUUUUGGGGGGUAGGGGAGUGGCCAGCCUGGUACCACUGCUUUAGAGCAUGUGUCAUCACCUCUCACAGUGAAGUCAUCUUUAAAGGACUCAAUUGUCUUGUGCCCAGGCUGGGCCUGGAGAGGGUGGAGGUCACAUGGCCACUGACCCGAGUCCUUCUGGCUUCCCUGUGACCUUCACGGGAGUCUCUUUGGGGGCUUAAAGAGGCAGGCACUGGCCGGAGAUGACCCUUCCCCAAUCACCCAUGUCCCUGGGAGCCUCAGUUCCUGGAACCAGCCACUUCAGACUGGGUCUUCUGGGCAGCUGGGUGGGACCACAGGACCGCUGUUCCUUGCAGGGCUGGAGUUUGAGCGCUGGCUCAAUGCCACGGGCCCACCGCUGGCCGAGCCGGACCUAUCUCAGGGGUCCAGCCUGACCCGGCCUGUGGAGGCCCUGUUCCAGCUGUGGACGGCGGAGCCCCUCGAUCAGGCGGCAGCGUCAGCCAGUGCCGUGGACAUCUCCAAGUGGAGGACCUUCCAGACGGCACUCUUCCUGGACCGGCUCCUGGAUGGGUCCCCGCUGCCUCAGGGUGGGUCCCUCAGCCAGCAGGUGGCCCUGGGGGGAGUGGCACUGGCCUGGCCUGACUUGCCGCUGCCCCACAGAGGUGGUGAUGAGCCUGUCCAAGUGCUACUCCUCCCUCCUGGACUCCAUGAACGCUGAGAUCCGCAUUCGCUGGCUGCAGAUCGUGGUGCGCAACGACUACUACCCAGACCUCCACCGGGUGCGGCGCUUCCUGGAGAGCCAGGUGCAGACACCUGUCUGGGGUCGGGGCUGGGGGUGGCCUCACUCAGGGGCCCAACCACCCUCUCUCUCUCCAGCCUGACUGCUCAGGCAGGCAGGCACACCAGAGAGUUGGGUGGCAAGGUCUGGGGGUCUGGGCUGGGAACCGGCCUGAGUCGGGGGAGACAGGUAUAAGUCAAAGCUCAGAGGCAGCCUGGACUGCACCAGUCCUGGGAGAGACCAUGGAGGCCCAAGAUGGGAGUUGGUGUCCAAGGGUCUCCGCUCACAGCCUGGACCUGGACCUAGCUGGGCCUCCAGCCUGUGGUGUUCAGCUCCCAGGUGGGCACAGGGGCAUCCAAGUUCCUCCAACAGUGGCAGGUUCCAGCCUGUGGGACCUGACUUCCCUGGGGCACCCCUCCAGCCCAAUCAGCAUGGAAGAGGAGGUCAGGGUGACCGACUGGUGGGGGUCUUGGGCUGUGUGAGUCCAGACCAAGGCCUGGUGAAGCCGCUGGAGCAGGUCCAGGGAUUGGAAGGCCUCCCGCCAGGCGGGGUUGGUGGGAGAGGCCCGGGGAGCCCACUAGGUGACCUGGUGUCCCCACAGAUGUCGCGCAUGUACACCAUCCCACUGUAUGAGGACCUCUGCACGGGUGCCCUCAAGUCCUUUGCGCUGGAGGUCUUCUAUCAGACGCAGGGCCGGCUGCACCCCAAUCUGCGCAGAACCAUCCAGCAGAUCCUGUCCCAGGGCCUGGGCCCCAGUGCCGAGGCCAGCACUGAGCCCGACGCUGAGCUGGCCAGAGCUGGGGCAGAGGCAGGGUCAGACUCGGCAGCCCUGCUGCUUGGCGACGAGGCCCCCAGUAGCGCCAUCUCUCUCAGGGACGUCAACGUGUCUGCCUAGCCCUGACAUUGGGCCAACCUUCAACCUCCCAGACACCAAGAUUGUGCCUUCUGUGGCCCGGGCCGCCAUGACUGCGCCUUGGCUCUGGCCACGAGCUCGGCCCGGGCCCGUGAGCCUCUCCCGUGGGCUCUCCCGUGGGCUCUCCCGGGGGCUCUCCCAGGCUGGGGGCUUGGGGAGAGGGAUUCUGUCUAGUGGCAGCCCUGGGGGCCUGAGCUCACCCUGUCCCAGCUGUCCUGCACUGUGGGCCUCAGGACUGGCCUUAUGCACCACGCCUCCCAUCUCAACACUGACAGCCAUGCGUGGCCCCGGACACCCGCACCUGCUGGACACCAUCGUGGGACCGCAGCUCCAGCAGCUCAUGGCGACCACCACACUGUGCCUUACGUCUGCAGACAGGCUGCACUGCCCCCGAGGCACAGCUUCCCCAGAACCCUGCACUGUUAUCCCCUGGCAGAGGGACAAGGACGCGAUGUACCCUCACUGUGGGGGCUGGGGACAGGAGAGAAGGGGCAUCACAUGGGGAGCCUUGGCCCCUCGGCACAUGGAGUCCAGGCCCCAGAGGCCUGUUCUCCCAGCUGCCUGGGGUAGCGGCACAGCCACCCGGCUCACCCCAGGAAAGGGGUGGUGCUGAUGCUCUUGGGGCACACCUGCUGGAGGCACCAGGUAGGAAGGCUCCAGCUUGGGACUGUGCAGUGGGCACCACGUGACUGUCCCAUUAAACCUCCACUCUGCAGACUGACCUCCCUUUCUG
rnacentral:lncRNA from 1 species